GGCCUGGCUGGCCGGUCCGCCUCACCGCGUGUACUGGUCCGGCCGGGCCUUUCCUUCUGGGGAACCUCAUGCCCUUCACUGGGCGUGUUGGGGAACCAGGACUUUUACUUUGAAAAAAUUAGAGUGUUCAAAGCAGGCCUUUGCUCGAAUACAUUAGCAUGGAAUAAUAGAAUAGGACGUGUGGUUCUAUUUUGUUGGUUUCUAGGACCGCCGUA
rnacentral:rRNA from 1 species